GAAAUAUUAACAUAAUAAUGCUAUAUAUUAAGUUAGAAGCUUAAAUUUGAUAUUUC
rnacentral:tRNA from 1 species